AACAUUCAACCUGGCACCACUGACGCAAUCGUUUCAUUUUUGUUUUGAUGCGCCGGGAGAGUCAUUGUCGUUGCCUAAUCUAUAGAUUAACUCCUUUGCUGGGCAACCAAAAUCUCCGGCAAACCCUUCGCUGACCGCGUGCCAGUUGGCAUAGUUUUAACCGAUUUCGGACUCUCGAAGCAACCCCUGGACGGAUCCAAAACGUACAGCUUCUGCGGCACCGUCGAGUACAUGGCCCCCAAGGUCGUCAACCGAAAGGGUCACACCUUCGCCGCAGACUGGUGGUCCUUUGGGGUUUUUAAUGUUUGAGAUGCUGACGGGCAACCUUCCCUUCCACGGUAGCAAUCGUAACGAUACGAUGAACGAGAUCCUGAAAACCAAACUUGGGAUUCCAGAAAAUCUGAGCCCGGAGGCUCAGAGUUUGUUGCGGGCCCUGUCAAACGCAAUCCCCAGAAACGGUUGGGAGUUGGCCCAAACGGGACGCGUUCGAGCGGAAGGAGGUGCGACCCCCUUUCAUUCCGGCCGUUUCCCGCGACGAUGCGUUUUACUUUGAAACGGAGUACACCAACAAAUCGCCCAAAGAUUCCCCCGGUGGUCCGGUUAGUGCGAGUGCCCAUGAGAUCUUCCGCGGAUUCAGUUUUAUAGCGCCAUGUUUGCUGGACGACAUUCAGAAUCAGAUGGGUCCCAGGGCACCGUUUACGAACGAAAUUCCUGGCGUCAAACCGGUCGCCUUUGCCGAUGAGUACGCAAUGAUGCAGGAGCUGGGCGGGGAACGUUCUCCGUUUGUCGGUUGUGUGAGAAUCGUACCACCAAGAAGCAUUACGCCGUUAAGAUAAUCGACAAAUACGGUCACGAUUGUCGAGAGGAAGUGGAAAUUCUACUGAGAUACGGCAAUCAUCCGAACAUCGUGUCUCUGUUCAGUUUCCACGAGGACCCCACUUAUGUGUACCUGGUAAUGGAGUUGCUAAAGGGAGGGGAGCUGCUGGAUCGAAUCUUGUCUAUUCAAUAUAUGUCGGAGGUUGAGGCCAGUGCAGUCCUUAAAACGGUCGUAUCGGCCGUUGCUAAAUAAA